CCUCCAGAUGUUGUUGAACUACAACUCUCAUGAUUCCAUGUAUGAAAUAGAUAGGCUGAGAAUCAUGGGAAUUGUAGUUCAGCAACAUCUGAAGG